AGUGAACGCUGGCGGUAGGCCUAACACAUGCAAGUCGAACGGCAGCACAGUAAGAGCUUGCUCUUACGGGUGGCGAGUGGCGGACGGGUGAGGAAUACAUCGGAAUCUACUUUUUCGUGGGGGAUAACGUAGGGAAACUUACGCUAAUACCGCAUACGACCUACGGGUGAAAGCAAGGGAUCUUCGGACCUUGCGCGAUUGAAUGAGCCGAUGUCGGAUUAGCUAGUUGGCGGGGUAAAGGCCCACCAAGGCGACGAUCCGUAGCUGGUCUGAGAGGAUGGUCAGCCACACUGGAACUGAGACACGGUCCAGACUCCUACGGGAGGCAGCAGUGGGGAAUAUUGGACAAUGGGCGAAAGCCUGAUCCAGCCAUACCGAGUGGGUGAAGAAGGCCUUCGGGUUGUAAAGCCCUUUUGUUGGGAAAGAAAAGCAGCAGGUUAAUACCCCGCUGUUCUGACGGUACCCAAAGAAUAAGCACCGGCUAACUUCGUG
rnacentral:rRNA from 1 species